rnacentral:rRNA from 1 species
AGAGUUUGAUCCUGGCUCAGGACGAACGCUGGCGGCGUGCUUAACACAUGCAAGUCGAACGAAGAGCGAUGGGAGCUUGCUCCUAUCAAUCUUAGUGGCGAACGGGUGAGUAACGCGUAAUCAACCUGCCCUUCAAUGGGGGACAACAGUUGGAAACGACUGCUAAUACCGCAUACGAUCGUAAUUCGGCAUCGAGUACGAUGAAAGGUGGCCUCUAUUUAUAAGCUAUCGUUGAAGGAGGGGAUUGCGUCUGAUUAGCUAGUUGGAGGGGUAACGGCCCACCAAGGCAAUGAUCAGUAGCCGGUCUGAGAGGAUGAACGGCCACAUUGGGACUGAGACACGGCCCAAACUCCUACGGGAGGCAGCAGUGGGGAAUCUUCCGCAAUGGACGAAAGUCUGACGGAGCAACGCCGCGUGAGUGAUGAAGGUCUUCGGAUUGUAAAGCUCUGUUAAUCGGGACGAAAGAGCCUAGUGUGAAUAAUGCUAGGAAGUGACGGUACCGGAAUAGAAAGCCACGGCUAACUACGUGCCAGCAGCCGCGGUAA